rnacentral:rRNA from 1 species
UACGAAGGGGGCUAGCGUUGUUCGGAAUUACUGGGCGUAAAGCGCACGUAGGCGGACAUUUUAAGUCAGGGGUGAAAUCCCGGGGCUCAACCCCGGAACUGCCUUUGAUACUGGGUGUCUUGAGUGUGGUAGAGGUGAGUGGAAUUGCGAGUGUAGAGGUGAAAUUCGUAGAUAUUCGCAGGAACACCAGUGGCGAAGGCGCUCACUGGACCACAACUGACGCUGAGGUGCGAAAGCGUGGGGAG